CAGUAGCCGCGGUAAUACGGAGGGUGCAAGCGUUAAUCGGAAUUACUGGGCGUAAAGCGCACGCAGGCGGUCUGACAAGUCAGAUGUGAAAUCCCCGGGCUUAACCUGGGAACUGCAUUUGAAACUGUCAGGCUGGAGUCUUGUAGAGGGGGGUGGAAUUCCAGGUGUAGCGGUGAAAUGCGUAGAGAUCUGGAGGAAUACCGAUGGCGAAGGCAGCCAUCUGGCCUAAUACUGACGCUGAGGUACGAAAGCAUGGGGAGCAAACAGGAUUAGAUACCCGAGUAGUCCCUGUCUCUUAUAC
rnacentral:rRNA from 1 species